AAAAACAGCCUAAAAAUUCUAAAGGCAUCAGAUCCCAUCUAGUCUUCGAAGCUAAGCAGGAUCAAUCCUGUUUAGUCCUAGGAUGGGAGACCUCCAAUGACUAGCAAGUGCUGUAGGCU
rnacentral:rRNA from 1 species